UGCCUUAGUAACGGCGAGUGAAGCGGCAAAAGCUCAAAUUUGAAAUCUGGUACCUUUGGUGCCCGAGUUGUAAUUUGGAGAGUACCACUUUGGGACUGUACUUUGCCUAUGUUCCUUGGAACAGGACGUCAUGGAGGGUGAGAAUCCCGUGUGGCGAGGGUGUCAGUUCUUUGUAAAGGGUGCUCGAAGAGUCGAGUUGUUUGGGAAUGCAGCUCUAAGUGGGUGGUAAAUUCCAUCUAAAGCUAAAUACAGGCGAGAGACCGAUAGCGAACAAGUACAGUGAUGGAAAGAUGAAAAGAACUUUGAAAAGAGAGUGAAAAAGUACGUGAAAUUGUUGAAAGGGAAGGGCAUUUGAUCAGACAUGGUGUUUUGCGCCCCUUGCCUCUCGUGGGCUUGGGACUCUCGCAGCUCACUGGGCCAGCAUCGGUUUUGGCGGCCGGAAAAAACCUAGGGAAUGUGGCUCUGCGCCUCGGUGUAGAGUGUUAUAGCCCUGGGGAAUACGGCCAGCCGGGACCGAGGACUGCGAUACU
rnacentral:rRNA from 1 species